rnacentral:rRNA from 1 species
UUAGUGGCGAACGGGUGAGUAACACGUGAGUAACCUGCCCUUAACUCCUGGGAUAAGCCUGGGAAACUGGGUCUAAUACCGGAUAUGACUCCUCAUCGCAUGGUGGGGGGUGGAAAGCUUUUUGUGGUUUUGGAUGGACUCGCGGCCUAUCAGCUUGUUGGUGAGGUAAUGGCUCACCAAGGCGACGACGGGUAGCCGGCCUGAGAGGGUGACCGGCCACACUGGGACUGAGACACGGCCCAGACUCCUACGGGAGGCAGCAGUGGGGAAUAUUGCACAAUGGGCGAAAGCCUGAUGCAGCGACGCCGCGUGAGGGAUGACGGCCUUCGGGUUGUAAACCUCUUUCAGUAGGGAAGAAGCGAAAGUGACGGUACCUGCAGAAGAAGCGCCGGCUAACUACGUGCCAGCAGCCGCGGUAAUACGUAGGGCGCAAGCGUUAUCCGGAAUUAUUGGGCGUAAAGAGCUCGUAGGCGGUUUGUCGCGUCUGCCGUGAAAGUCCGGGGCUCAACUCCGGAUCUGCGGUGGGUACGGGCAGACUAGAGUGAUGUAGGGGAGACUGGAAUUCCUGGUGUAGCGGUGAAAUGCGCAGAUAUCAGGAGGAACACCGAUGGCGAAGGCAGGUCUCUGGGCAUUAACUGACGCUGAGGAGCGAAAGCAUGGGGAGCGAACAGGAUUAGAUACCCUGGUAGUCCAUGCCGUAAACGUUGGGCACUAGGUGUGGGGGACAUUCCACGUUUUCCGCGCCGUAGCUAACGCAUUAAGUGCCCCGCCU